CCAUCUUAUUCUCACAAAUCCCCCCUUCAAUUUUAAAAGCACCACAAAAUAGCCAAAACUCAAAUCAGAAUGUCUAUUUUUUAACCAAGAUAAGCGAUUUUUGUGUGUACUACUUUUACAAGACAAGAGUAGAGAGAAAGUAGCCGACCAAGUAUCUCAUACAAAUAUCAUCAAGAAAGGCACUUGGAAGGUGAAGAUAAAUAAACUUCAGUGUGGCAAACUACUGGUCAGGCACUUCCCCCUGACAUGUACACACAUAAAAUUUGGUUCUUGAAUGGGCGGUGAUCGAGAUGGAAAUCCUAAUGUGACUGCCAAGCCAAAUGGACGCAAACGAGUCAUAGAGAUAGUAUUCUCAAAACUUGGAUACAAAACCUUCGCUUAGAUCUUACCUCCACCGAUGCAAGAAUUCAAUCCGGAUCAUUCUUAUACUGUUAGCUAUAUGCUGCAGGUCGACUGGAGUGAAGAGUGCAUGUGUUUAACCAAGUUCUAUGAAGGAAAAUUCCAUAGUUGAAACACCACAUAUUUUAUUUACUACCUUUGUUAUUGUAUUGUUACAUUGUGAAUAUAUUUUUCCUCGGUAAAUUUUGUAAUUAAUUUUUCUAUGAAUUAAUACUAGAUGUAAUUACGCAACUAAUUUAAUUCCAAUAACGAUUUCAGUUGCA